UACAGAGGGUGCGAGCGUUAAUCGGAAUUACUGGGCGUAAAGCGCACGUAGGCGGCUUUGCAAGUCAGAUGUGAAAUCCCCGGGCUUAACCUGGGAACUGCAUUUGAGACUGCAUUGCUAGAGUAUGGGAGAGGGCAGUGGAAUUUCCGGUGUAGCGGUGAAAUGCGUAGAUAUCAGGAGGAACACCGGUGGCGAAGGCGGGUCUCUGGGCCGAUACUGACGCUGAGGAGCGAAAGCGUGGGGAGCGAACAGG
rnacentral:rRNA from 1 species